GGACCAAGGAGUCUAGCAUGUGCGCGAGUCAUUGGGACUUGCUAAACCUAAAGGCGAAAUGAAAGUAAAGGCGCGCCUUGCGCGCGCCUAGGGAGGAUGGGUUGUCGUUACGACGCAACCUCGCACUCCCGGGGCGUCUCGUUCUCAUUGCGAGAUGAGGCGCACCCAGAGCGUACACGCUGGGACCCGAAAGAUGGUGAACUAUGCCUGGUCAGGACGAAGUCAGGGGAAACCCUGAUGGAGGUCCGUAGCGAUUCUGACGUGCAAAUCGAUCGUCGGAACUGGGUAUAGGGGCGAAAGACUAAUCGAACCAUCUAGUAGCUGGUUCCCUCCGAAGUUUCCCUCAGGAUAGCUGGCACUCGCAUAAGCGAGUCUCAUCCGGUAAAGCGAAUGAUUAGAGGCAUUGGGGUCGAAACGGCCUCAACCUAUUCUCAAACUUUAAAUGGGUGAGAUCUCCGGCUUGCUUAAAGCAUGAAGCCGCGAGAUCGGAUCAGAGUGCCAAGUGGGCCACUUUUGGUAAGCAGAACUGGCGCUGUGGGAUGAACCAAACGCCGAGUUAAAGCGCCCAAAUCGACGCUUAUGGGAUACCAUGAAAGGCGUUGGUAACUUAAGACAGCAGGACGGUGGCCAUGGAAGUCGGA
rnacentral:rRNA from 1 species